rnacentral:rRNA from 1 species
CAGUCGCCGCGGUAAUACGUAGGGUGCAAGCGUUAAUCGGAAUUACUGGGCGUAAAGCGUGCGCAGGCGGUUAUAUAAGACAGAUGUGAAAUCCCCGGGCUCAACCUGGGAACUGCAUUUGAAACUGGCAGGCUAGAGUCUUGUAGAGGGGGGUAGAAUUCCAGGUGUAGCGGUGAAAUGCGUAGAGAUCUGGAGGAAUACCGGUGGCGAAGGCGGCCCCCUGGACAAAGACUGACGCUCAGGUGCGAAAGCGUGGGGAGCAAACAGGAUUAGAUACCCCGGUAGUCCCUGUCUCUUAUAC